UAAAAUGCAAUUAAAACUUUAUUGGCGAAGGCACAGUAUAAGCAAAAAUAUAGAGGCUCAGUAGGUAGCUGGUUUCAAGAGUUCAGGAUCCCUUUGAGAUGGGAAGUUUAAGAAAUCCGUAUUAUGAGCACUAGAAGUCCUGUAGCUUCACAGUCCUGGCUGAGUGCUUUUUCAGAGUCACAAGACAUAUCUUGGAACAAACCUCUUAUUAAAUCCACAGUGGGCAGGUUCCUCAAAGAAGAGUUUUCAACAGGUUCACAUGCGUAAGUUUCAGCAGCUGACAAUCCCUGAGAAGGCCUGGACCUUGCCCAAGCUGCUCAUCUGCAUUACAAAUGCUUCUCUGCUCUCUCCUGCACAUGAACCACCACUAGGAGAAAAGCCCCCAGUGAUUUAAACUUCUUAUUCCCUUGCUAUCCUGCUUGUCUGACAUGUACCAUACGUGGAAGGGAUAUCCAGAUGUUGCUUCUGAACCAGGGUUCAGCCCACUGGAAGGUUCCUGUGUAUCACUUUGUUUUUAAACUAAAUUGGGAAUCUCUUGAGAACUCGAGGUAAGCACUCAGAAUGAAAACAGCGGUGUCUUGUACAAUGGGAUCCUGCUUCCCCCUAGCGGCAAAUGCAAGAAAAGAUCUUCUCCAAAGUCUACUGCAGGGGUCAGCAAACUUUUUCAGCAGGGAGCCGGUCCACUGUCCAUUAGACCUUGUGGGGGGCCGGACUAUAUUUUGGAAGGGGGGGGGGAAAUGAACGAAUUCCUAUGCCCUGCAAAUAACCCAGAGAUGCAUUUUAAAUAAAAGCACACAUUCUACUUAUGUAAAAACGCCAGGCAGGCCCCACAAAUAACCCAGAGAUGCAUUUUAAAUAAAAGGAUACAUUCUACUCAUGUAAAAACAUGCUGGUUCCCGGACCGUCUGCGGGCCGGAUUUAGAAGGCGAUUGGGUCGGAUCCGGCACCCAGGCCUUAGUUUGCCUACCCAUGAUCUACUGUUUGUUUACAAUGACCCUUGACAAUCUGGUGCAGUAGUAGUAGUAGUAGUAGUAGUAAUAAUAAUAAUAAUAAUAAUAAUAAUAAUAAUAAUAAUUUUAUUAUUUAUAUGUCACGUGUCUGACUGGGUUGCUCCAGCCACUCUGCGUGGCUCCCAACAAAAUAUUAUAAAACACAAUAAAACAUUGAAAACUUCCCUACAGUUGUUGUUGUGUACUACAACUCUUAGCAGUCGCAGCCCACUUUGGACUACAACUCCCAUCAUCCCUUGCCAGCAUUGCUGUGUAUCAAGCUGCUGUCAGAAGCUCCAAGAGCAGGCUGGGAAGUACUCAUCUGUGGCUGCACAGGUCUGAAUUUUCGCCGCAUUACAACAACCCUGUCUCUGCCAGUCUCUCUUGCACAGGCCUGCAAUCCUGGGGGGAGGAAAUGUGUUUGCUCAGGACCUCAGCGAAGGUUAGCAGGGGGCUUGCAGAGAUUUGUCCAGGGCGCUUCAUCCUGAUCUAUUUGCAGAGAAGUUAAGACGACUUAAGCUAUUUAAAGAAGAUUCAUUCUGUUAUUUUGCGGGGGUGGGAGGUCACACAAUGUUGCGUCAAGUGUGUCCUCCCACACUUUCCCAACUGCAAAAAGUCCAGCCUUUGGGGGAAGUGAGAUUGUUGCACAACACAUCCAAAGCAAUUGCAAUUGCGCAACCUGAAUUUGACGGAAUCCCCCGCAGAAAUAGUGGCAGUCUGGAAGUGCCCCAGUCUCUAAAAAACUAGGGAUGAAACAGGACUGACACACCAAUUUCAGGUGUUCCUGCUGCCCAUUCCCCUCUCCCAUCCCAGAGUGCCCAGAUACAGAAGACAACAAGGUUCAUCUGCCUUUAAUAGUCCUGGGCUGCAGCUGCUGAAAUUCUCUCUUCUUGUUGUUUAGUUGUGUCUGACUCUUCGUGACCCCCUGGACCAGAGCACGCCAGGCACUCCUGUCUUCCACUGCCUACCGCAUUUUGUUCAAACUCAUGCCGGUAGCUUCGAGAACACUGUCCCACCAUCUCGUCCUCUGUCCUCCCCUUCUCCUUGUGCCCUCCGUUUUUCCCAACAUCAGGGUCUUUUCCAGGGAGUCUUCUCUUCUCCUGAGGUGGCCAAAGUAUUGGAGCCUCAGCUUCACGAUCUAUCCUUCCAGUGAGUACUCAGGGCUGCUUUCCUUAAGAAUGGAGAGGUUUGAUCUUCUUUCAGUCCAUGGGACUCUCAAGAGUCUCCUCCAGCACCAGAAUUCAAAAGCAUCAAUUCUUUGGCAAUCAGCCUUCUUUAUGGUCCAGCUCUCACUUCCAUACAUCACUACUGGGAAAACCAUAGCUUUAACUAUAUGGACCUUUGUUGGCAAGGUGAUGUCUCUGCUUUUUAAGAUGCUGUCUAGGUUUGUCAUUGCUUUUCUCCCAAGAAGCAGGCGUCUUUUAAUUUCGUGACUGCUGUCACCAUCUGCAGUGAUCAAGGAGCCCAAGAAAUAAAAUCUUUCACUGCCUCAAAUUCUUCCCCUUCUAUUUGCCAGGAGGUGAUGGGACCAGUGGCCACGAUCUUCAUAUUUUUGAUGUUGAGCUUCAGACCAUAUUUUGCGCUCUCCUCUUUCACCCUCAUUAAAAGGUUCUUUAAUUCCUCCUCACUUUCUGCCAUCUCUCUUCUACACAACUAUAAUUAAAGGCACGGUAGUCCAAUUUUUGCCUUUCCUUCCCCCACCAUCUCUAAAGUGAUGUGCUAAACUUUCCUCUUCUACUCUUUAAGUAAGGAAGGACAGAGCAAAUCACACACUUCAAAGCAAAGAAAUAAAUGCAAAUAAAUGCUCGCUGGAUCGCUUGAAAGGCCGCUCCAAACCCAACCACACUGAGAUUUGCUCAUUGUAUUUGAAGAGCCCAAAAGCACAGAGAGAGUGUGCCUUAGAGAAGGCUAGGGUUGGUCGACUGAAUUUGCAAAUCGCUUCCCAGGACAAGAAGUCCCGAGCCAAUUUAUGACAAGAAUAAAAGGUAAAGGUACCCCUGCCCGUACGGGCCAGUCGCGUCCGACUCUAGGGUUGUGCGCCCAUCUCACUUAAGAGGCCAUGGGCCAGCGCUGUCCGGAGACACUUCCGGGUCACGUGGCCAGCGUGACGAAGCUGCUCUGGCGAGCCAGCACCAGCGCAGCACACGGAAACGCCGUUUACCUUCCCGCUAUAAAGCGGUACCUAUUUAUCUACUUGCACUUAGGGGUGCUUUUGAACUGCUAGGUGGGCAGGAGCUGGGACCGAAAGACGGGAGCUCACCCCGCCGCGGGGAUUCAAACCGCCGACCAUACAAUCGGCAAGUCCUAGGCACUGAGGUAAGAAUAAAAGACUGCAAUAAGAGUGCAUAAAGACAUUAAAAGCACACCCAGAGUAAAAAUAUCCAGUCGUUGGUGCUGCCUGAAUGCUUGGGGGGAAACAAAGAGGACAUUGGUUUGCAUAUUGAGACAGCUGAAGGCAGCCCUGUACAGGCCAAUUUUUAAUGGUGGAUGUUUUAUUGUGUUUUUAAGAUUUUGUCGGGAGCAACCCAGUCAAGCAUAUAAAUAACAAAAAUAUUAUGAUGGUAAUUUUGUGGCUAUAGCAUGAAAUGUAGAAAUGACUGCUGUAAUUUAAAUAGAAAUACAGUGCGUCUCACCAUGAUGGGGUAUCGACUGCCCAGGUAACUUCUGUCUUGCCUGCUCGGGGUGCUGACAAGGUGGGCAAAUUCAAGCCCCCCCUUAGGGUUCCUGACCUUUAAACCAGACUUGGACUGGGCGACCCUCAAACAGAGGACACCUCAAAACAGUGAACUGCCCUUCCAAACUGAGGAU
rnacentral:lncRNA from 1 species